CCUACGGGUGGCAGCAGUGAGGAAUAUUGGUCAAUGGGCGCGAGCCUGAACCAGCCAAGUAGCGUGAAGGAUGACUGCCCUACGGGUUGUAAACUUCUUUUAUAAAGGAAUAAAGUGAGGCACGUGUGCCUUUUUGUAUGUACUUUAUGAAUAAGGAUCGGCUAACUCCGUGCCAGAAGCCGCGGUAAUACGGAGGAUCCGAGCGUUAUCCGGAUUUAUUGGGUUUAAAGGGAGCGUAGAUGGGUUGUUAAGUCCGUUGGUAAAGUUUGCGGCACAACCCGGGCCGGCCGUUGAAACUGGGGAUCUUGAGUGGGCGAGAAGUAUGCGGAAUGCGUGGUGUAGCGGUGAAAUGCAGAGAUAUCACGCAGAACUCCGAUUGCGAAGGCAGCAUACCGGCGCCCGACUGACGCUGAGGCACGAAAGCGUGGGGAUCGAACAGGAUUAGAUACCCCAGUAGUC
rnacentral:rRNA from 1 species